rnacentral:lncRNA from 1 species
GACGGAUUCUUUCGAGUGCCUAAGUUGUCACUUAGCUCUCUUCUAGGUUUGCAUGUUGUUUUGAUUGUUUGAUUGUGGAUUUGGAUGCUGAUUGUGUGUUCAUAUGUUUGUGACUAUAGUUGUUGGCUAAUCAUACUGUACUAGGUUCAUUUAAUCAUUACUUCCAUAGACAUGUUGAGUUUGUUUUAAAUUUACCCCUCCUACCUAAAUACCGAUUUCACCAGGUCAACCUCAACACAUAACCUAUAAAUAUAUAUUUAUUGUCCCUUUAUUGCACACAUAUCACUUUUGCUGAAAUUUUAUUCUCUCUGUUUUGCUGAAGUUCUCUCUCGGCUCUCUCUCUUGGCUCCGCUCUGUUUCUCUUCACUCUCCCCUGGCUUUGCUCUGACUCUCUCAUCUCUCGUCGCUCAUCUCUGAAUCUCUGGUCACUCAGCUCUCAAUCUCUCAUCGCUCAGCUCCGACUCUCUCUUCUCUCUUCCUCUCCCAGCGACAGGUACUGUUCAUCGACAUUUUCUUACAGUUUAAGGGUUUCUCUGAAGUUGGUUUAGGGUUUAUGCAUUUCUCUGAAAUUGGUUGAGGGGGUUUGUUCGAAAUUGGUUGAAGGUUUAGGGGUUUCUCUGAAAUUAGUUUGGGGUUUGUUCGAAAUUGGUUGAAGGUUUAGGGGUUUCUCUGAAAUUGGUUUAGGGGUUUCAUCGAAAUUGGUUUUGGGGUUUCUCUAAAAUGAUCUUAGUAUGAUGAUUUCGUGUUUCAAACAGUGAAUG